rnacentral:misc_RNA from 1 species
GGAAGGAUCAUUGAAUCUAUUAACAAUCCACACCUGUGAACCUCGCUUGUUGGCCUCUGGCUCUUGUUAACAGCAAGAGACAGGCUGCCUGGACCGGAUUAACUUCUGGUUCGGCGCAGGGCCUCUCCUAGGCUCUCCUAACCCGAGAGUCUCUGAGGGGUCGGUCUUUAUAUCCAACCAACAACACCAAACCAAACCUAUAUAAAUCAAACCCGAGGAUGGCUUAGAGCCGGACUCACGAACCAAGACAACUCUGAACAACGGAUAUCUUGGCUCGCACAACGAUGAAGAACGCAGCGAAAUGCGAUACGUAGUGUGAAUUGCAGAAAUACGUGAAUCAUCGAAUCUUUGAACGCAAAUUGCGCUCGCGGCUUCGGCCAAGAGCAUGUCUGCCUCAGCGUCGGGUUAAUACUCGCUCCCAACAUUCCUUGUGAGUGUUGGCGAAGCGGACCUGACCUUCCCAGCAAUUUAAGUAUUGCUGGGUCGGUUGAAGUGCAGAGGUUGUCGCAUGGACCCGCUCAAGGGCCUCAACUGGGUAGGCUAUUCGUAGCUAUAUGCUUUAGUUGAUGGCUUGGGACUUUGCAAUGACGGCCCAAUCCAGGAACUGAGUUGCAAUACACUCAGCUAUAUAUAACCCAUUUUCUCGACCUGAGCUCAGGCAAGAUUACCCGCUGAACUUAAGCAUAUCAAUAAGCGGAGGAAAAGAAACUAACCAGGAUUCCCCUAGUAACGGCGAGCGAACCGGGA